ensembl:lncRNA
GUAUCUAGAGAUGCAUAUAUUGGGAGGGGUUUGCAGGGGAUGAAAGCCAGUAACUGAAUGCAGAGCCAUCGCUGGUGGGAUCGGUGGAGAGGUGCAGGAGGGAUGCUGUGGUGCGUUGGACAAGUCAAGCUGUGACAGCUCUGUGUUUCAGUGCCCUGACGUGAAGUGGGAGGACUGAGACCUUGGCAGAGCACAGGAGAGUCCCCUUUGUCCUGCUGUGAGGAUUCCCAGUGGGUGAGAGCUGCUUCAAAAUACAGCCGUUGCUUUGGGAGCUGCCUGGAUGCAGUGGCCUUGUGUCAUGCUUGAAUGAGUUUUGCUCCAUCAGAGGAAGAGAUGACCCUGUUUUCCCUCGUCUUUCUCCUCCCUCGUCUCCCUGUUCUGUCUUUCACCGCCUGGACUGGGGCCUGGCAGCCAGGCUUGGAGACCUGCCCCAUGGCAGAGCAGAGGGAGCUGCAGGAUCAGAGGCUUCACAUCCCAGAGCGGUGUUACAGAGAGCUGCACCCCUGUCAGGGUGCCCAACCUCAUCCAGGAGGACCUCCUGCCCCAUAAAGCCAGCUCUGAAGCUGGGAGCUCACAGAGUGGGAUCUGCUGGUGAGAACCGUGUUCCCUUCCAACUGUUGCUCUUCCUCCAGGGGCUACAGUGCUAGAAGUGGGUUUACUCUCUCUUCCCAGUUUGUUUCCCUGUAACAUCAUUUUCAGUUCCAGUUUAACCCCACGUGGUUCCGGUGUGAAGCAGCUGGAGGGGAAAUGACAAACCCUUUCCUUGUGUGUUCUUGGCUUUUUUCAACAUCACCUGCUCCCCUCAGUGACUGUCCUGCCCUGGGUGUCCUGGGAAGCCAUCAGGAGCGCUGCCUUGGAGCUCUCCCCCUCCAAACCCAUCCUGGUGUCCGAGCAAGCUCACCAAAGUGGCUUUGUGGCUCCCGAAAGGAACUGAGCAUUGGUGAAGGUUCACAUGGGCACAUGCAGCCCGAGCCCCACAGAUAUUGCCUCUUGCCUUACGUGUACAGGUCCUACAUAGACCUUGGUUUAUCUUCACACCAACUGUUGGAGUCGAUGCUAAAGUAAACCAAAGGACAGUGUCACAGUCUGAGUCACUCGCACCGAGCUGGGCGGCCGCGUUUCGAUUGCACUAACAUGAAGAAGGAGGAUUGACACCAUCUCAGCCCAUGUUCCUGCUGCCUGGAGUCACUCAUUGAAAGUAGGGAUCUGCAUCUUUCCAGCCUUCUGGGGCUCCUGAACUCGUGUGAAGUGUUCAUACUGCUUUAAUGCUGUCCUGCCAGUGGAAGCAGCACUACCUGGACUCCUCAUGGAUGCAGCACACUGGGCUCGUUGGCUCUGACCACUGCAUCCCACCGGGCCUGGAGAGAAAACCCCACAGCAAGUCCAUGACAUGGAAGUGGUUUAACCCAGGAGUUCUCCAGAGAUCUGCUCUACAUACCAAAGAGGGGAACGUGUCUAGAAGACGAUGACUGGAGAGGAGGUGACACGGUGGGCAAGCAGGGCAGGCACCUCCCGGCCAUCGGUGGAUGAUUCCCACUCAGUGUUGCAGAAGAUGCUGGAAAAGCCCCAUUGAUCCUUGCCUGCAAAGCCCAAGGGACAAUACCCAGCUCCAGGAGGUUUGCUCCUUGGUGUGCAAGCAGGAAUUGGCGGGUGAAGCAUCUUAUCUCAUUUAUACCUCAAGAUACUGUUAGUGUCAAAGUAAUUGCUCAGAUUUCUCCUUAACAAUUAACUUGGGCACUGGUGGUCUCUUGGAAGGAGGCGGUUGGGCUGUGGAUGUGGUGGUGCUGUGCUGGGAUGCGAGUCGGGAGCGCUUCUGGGGUGGAAGUGCCAUGGGGAAGGAAGGAGGUGGUGGAGAAAACGGUCUCUGAUGCUGCAGGGAGAGGGAUUGGGGUGGGAGGAUGCUGGAGGAGCAGAGCUGCUCCUGCCCAUUGCGGAUGAGGGGUCAUCAGGGGACGGAGCAGCUACCCCCGGGGCUGUGGUGCACAGCAGUGGUGUGCAAGGUGAUGGAAGCCCUAAAUGCACACGCUUGACUCCUGAGGGACUCCCUGGCACCCGCCUGAAGCAGGGAAGUGCCUGCGGCCGCCUUCCUCUAGGAAAAGUGCCCUCAGGGGCAGGAUGCUCCAAGAACCCACCUGAGCGAUGCUGCACAGGCAGGGCAGGGCUGAAACUAGCCUUGGAACCACAGAAUCCCACUGCAGCUCCAACCCUGGCCCCUCUUCCCCCUCGUCCCACCUGAGUCCUGGCUCCUCUCCACGUAGAAGAGAACUUGUACUUGCCCUGGGGCUGGAGGGCACAAAUCCUGCCUCUCCUCCUAUUAGACCCUGCUUUGGGCCGAGAGUGUUGGUCAAGGUUCAUGUGGUUGCUUAUGCUGUUGUGCGAACAGCAUGUAAAUGAAUGGAAAUGUCUUAU